rnacentral:sRNA from 3 species
UAACAUCAAACUCAGAUGUUGAGCGUGAAGGAUAACGUUGCGUCAGCAACGGCCCGAAGGGCGAGGCGAAGCCGAGUCAUCCUGCACAACCCACCA